GCGGGGCCCCGCCGCCCCGCCCUCCUCCAGCGCCGCGGCGGGGAGGGGCGACUGGCCGGGAGGGGCGGGCCGGGCGGCUCUUGGCUCCGCCCGCCCCCGGCCCCCGCCCCCGGCCCCAGCGUGUAGCCCAGCGCUGGCCCUCCGGGUCCGGGAGACUCCUGGACUGCGGAGGAGCGGGCGGCGGGGCUAGGCGCGGCUAACUGGACCCGGGAGGACUCUUCCUCAGCGCCACCUUCCAGCUCUUACGGGCGGACCGGAGUCGGGAAAGUUGAGAGGGGCCCGGGGUGGGGUCAGGAAAGGGCCGCUGCUGCCCUCCCGUGGCUGAGCGGCCACCCGCGCCUACACCACCUGGGUGGUGUCCCGUGGGAGGCAGGACUGGGAAAAACGGCUUAGGGGACGCCGGAGGAAGGGGCUGCGGGAAAUCCCCACCCUCUUAGAAUCGUUGCGCAGAGACACAGGCAGGAGACGCCGGUUCGAUCCCUGAGUCAGGAAGAUCCCCUGAAGGAGGAAAUGGUACAUGAGGAAGUGAAUGGAGG
ensembl:lncRNA